ACAUGUGGAGACUUCCCCAUCCAUCACCCAGGGAUGCGUUUGGUAGCUUCUGAUGCCCCAUGCUCAGCCAAAAAAAUGCAGCACAUCUGAUUGACCUGGACAUGAUGGCAAAAUGAGGACAGAUGAAUGGAUGAAUUUUAAGUGAAGAUGGUUGGAUUAUGUAACCAGAAGACUUGAUUAUCUGGCCAGAAGACCAAGCCACAGAAGACCCACAGAGGCCGACGUACAGCCUGCAGGGUCAAUGGGAGCUGAAGAAAAUGGCAGCACUGCUCCUGGACAUCAGUGGGUGCUCAAAAAAGAAAGUGCAACUCUCCACACCCUCAUCAAAUGGCUCCCUUUGCUUCCCCCACCUGUUCAGGCAGCUGGGUGGCCACUUUCUGCCCUUGGCUAUGGAUGUGCAACUUGAAUUGGCUUCAAUGGACCCUCAGUGACUUACUGGAAUUUUGAGUAAUCCCAGGAGCACUGUAGAGAUAUUCAGGAACUGUUCUACCACUAUUAGGUAUAAAACCCAAGUCCUUGCUAAGGAUGUAAACUACUUCGUUUCUGACUGUCUUCAGGUGCACAUGAUACAGAUUUUUCAAAGACCUCUGCUUAUAAAUCAGAUACAACUCAUCUGGGCCUGCUGAUUUAUUAGAGUUCCUGCUUUUGCAAGCACAAUGGUAAUGUACUUCCAUGAAGACAUGUAGCUUUUUUGGAAAGCCACAACCACAUUAAGGUCGCUGCUGCCACCAAGUGGUUUUUCAAUCUCAAAUCUGUAAUUUCUUCUGUCUGGAUUCAGUAGUGCAUCCCUCUUUUUGGAAUCCUACCUGCAAAAUUGCAUUCAUUUCUAAGAAUUUAAAGACUGUGCCUGUAAUGUUGUCAGUCCAUCCCUUCUGCCAGGGGAUUCCUGGACUAUCACAGGAGUCAUAGCUGCCUGUUAGCACAUGGUUCUAAUCCUGAAGUUCCUUCUAGCACUGACAAUAGGAUUUCAAUAAAAAGGUAACAAUUCUUACUCCAGGCUACUAUUAUGCAUAUAAAUAAAAAUUCAUUCUUAAUCCUUUUAAGUUCUGGAAAAUACUUUUUGGCUAGAAUUACUCCAAUAAAUACACCCAACAUACAAAAUUAAUCCAUCAUAUACAUAAAUGGAUAAAUAUACUAAAAAAAACAGGCAAAUGCUCUGGAAAUAAUACAACAACUUGAAAACAUCAGUUAAUAGGAGGAAAAAAUUCACUUAUGUUCUUCAAACAAGUGAAGUCCUUCAUACACAAGCUACAAUCUAUCAAGAAUGAAAGCCUACCAAAAUAAUUAUGAUAGUUAUAUAUUAGUUGGUAAACAAAACAUUCCUAGGAUAUGUGCCCUUAUUAUGUGAUAUAAAAUACUCUGCAACAAUCAUCUGGACAUUUUGAUUCAUGAAAUAUGCCAUGUAUGGAUAAAGGUACAUUUCUAAAAGCGUGCAGAGAAUCUGCAGAGUUUGUUUCCUAUUCCUAUUUGCAAAUGACACCAUCUCACUUGGUUUACAAAGGAAAGCAUCUAUAGCAACAACAGAUUUUAACUCAUAGUAAGGUUAUUUUACUAGUGAAGUGUUCAGCAGAAAUUACCGAAUUAUUUCUUCAUCUGGUGCAGCAGAAGGUAUGUUAACUUGUACAGAGUAUUAGCCAUCCUUUCCUUCAGGGAGCUUUCUAAAAUGAGCUUGCAUUUAUUUAAAGUAUGACAGAAGGAGCCAGCAUAGCUAUUUUGUGUGUGUGUGUGUGUGUGUGUCUCUGAGGUAUUAAAUACAGCUAUAAAAAUUCUCUCUUCAGAGUGUCAAAUUUACACUACUGAAGUGGUUUAAUGCUAAAGUUUUAGGGAAAGGUGCUGAAGAAAUUUCUAGGAAGAGAGGAGGUGGGUAGGUCACAUUGCCUCAACUUAUUUUAAAUGUACUUCUCACUUUACUUCCCAAACCAUUUUUUGUUUUUUUAAGUUUGACAAGCAAUGGAAGGGAACAAACUGACUGUAUGUUAGAUAGUUAGACUACCAACAUAUAGAUUUGUGGUUGCUUUACAUGUAAAAGAGUUCAUAUUAUUCCUGGGGGAAUUCUGCACAUCUGCAGACAUGCAGAAUUCUUCUGUGUCACAUAAUUUUGUAUUUUCCCGCAUAAAAUGCAUUUUGCCUAAGAAGUGCUGCAGUUCUGCCUUUUGCCCGCUUGAGGCCGCUGUGGCACCAGAACACCAGCUGCAUGAACGCGGAUGGCCGUUCUAGUGCCACAAUGGUCUCUGGUUGGGGGGCAAAAGGCAGAACUGCAGCACUUCUGGGGCAAAAUGCAUUUUCUGCAGGGGGCGGGGGGGAUUCUAUGCCCAAUGCUGCAGAAUUGACCCAAGGAGUAGAAGUUCAUCAUAGCACCCUGUCCGCAGAGCCAAGUUCGGACAGAGUGGAGCACACAGGGCUGUUGCGAGGGGGGGGGAGGAGAGGGAGAAAGGAGGGUGGUCCACAGACUGGGGUUCAGAAUGGCCAGUGGCAGAGAGAGACUGAGGCAUGGACUCAGGAGCUAGUGGGGUGACAAUGUUGAGCCUGGGGAUGGGGGAUGCAUAGACCCAUGGGGAUGAGGAGUGUGGGGACGGGCAGAUGUGCUUGACCUCAUGGGAGAGACUUGGGGUCAGCCAGGGGCUGCAUGGGAAGGCUUCCUAACCCUCCAACAACCCCCCUUCCCUCCUCCCUAAAAAAACAACAACCUCUUUUCCACCCACCUCCAGGUUCACUCCUUCCCUCCUCCUCAGCUCCUCUGUUACCUCAACUCCCCCAAGCCUUUGCACUACUUCUGACAGGGGCAGGAAAUCCAGUUCUGUAUUGUAAUUUAAAUGAAUUACUCAAAGUUCUACAUUAAUAUGCCUAUAAGGAAUCUAUUAGUCAAAAAACCACUAUCCACAAUCUUUUUUUUUUGAGGUCUGUAUUGUUACAGACAUACUCACUGAAAGAUAUUUUGCAAUAAAGUACCAAAAUAAUUGAAACUUGCACAAUUAUAUUGUGUUAUUUUGACAAAGCAAAUAAGCAUACUUAUGCAGAAUUUUCAGAUACUGUGUG